rnacentral:rRNA from 1 species
AUGUGCUUGGAGUUCGGCUCGUGUUUCGGCGGCAGGACGGACGACUACGGCGGCGAGCGGGCCAACCGCAGGGAGGAGCACGGCGGCGGCCGUGGUGCUCGUGGCCGCGACCGCAGAGGGAACCACGGCACCGGCGCUGGUGGCCACAAACCGGCGUACCACCACCAGCCGCCCGCCGCAGUGGACGAGGCCGUGCACAAGGCCUACCACGACGGCGUGCGGAAAGCCGACUACGCUGGCGCUGGUGUCCGCGGCGGUUACGCCACCUAUGCCGAACACAAGGCCGACAUGGAGAUGCCAAAGCUUCCCGUGUGGAACAAGAAGGUCGGCGACGACGCCUACACGGCGUGCCUCCAAGAAGCUGUUGAUACUGAUGAUAGGAACAACGCCGCCAUGGAUUACCACCACUAUGCAACCAGCACCACCUUUACUGCUACUACUCUCGGAAGGUACUAG